GCUUAAAGGGGCCGUAGCUUGAUAAUAGGGUCCCUUGAGAAAUCCGCCGGCUUAACUGACGGGCGUUCAGGGGAAACUUGUUUUCUAGGGACCGGGAGAGGUGAGGGGUACUGCCGGGGUAGGAGUGAAAUCCUGUAAUCCCGGUGGGACCACCUAUGGCGAAGGCAUCUCACCAGAACGGGUCCGACAGUGAGGGACGAAAGCUGGGGGAGCAAACCGGAUUAGAUACCCGGGUAGUCCCAGCUGUAAACUAUGUGCGUUAGGUGUGUCAGUGACCACGUGUCACUGAGGUGCCGAAGGGAAACCGUGAAACGCACCGCCUGGGGAGUACGGUCGCAAGGCUGAAACUUAAAGGAAUUGGCGGGGGAGCACCACAACGGGUGGAGCCUGCGGUUUAAUCGGACUCAACGCCGGGAAUCUCACCGGAUAAGACAGCUGAAUGAUAGUCGGGAUGAAGACUCUACUUGACUAGCUGAGAGGAGGUGCAUGGCCGUCGUCAGUUCGUACUGUGAAGCAUCCUGUUUAGUCAGGCAACGAGCGAGACCCACGCGAGCAGUUGCCAGCUUGACCUUCGGGUUGAUGGGGACACUGCUCGGACCGCCUCUGCUAAAGGGGAGGAAGGACUGGGCAACGGUAGGUCAGCAUGCCCCGAAUUAUCCGGGCUACGCGCGGGCUACAAUGGACAGGACAAUGAGUUUCGACACCGAGAGGUGUGGAUAAUCUUCUAACCCUGUCCCAAGUUCGGAUUGCGGGUUGUAACUCACCCGCGUGAAGCUGGAAUCCGUAGUAAUCGCGUUUCAACAUACCGCGGUGAAUAUGUCCCUGCUCCUUGCACUCACCGCCCGU
rnacentral:rRNA from 1 species